AACAAAAUUGAUCUUUUAGGGGUUUCUUUCCAAUGUGCUUCAGUUGUUGUUAAAAUUACACGCUGUGAAGCAUUAUUAAAAAUAAAAUAAAAAGAAGUCAUCUUCUUUACGAACAUUAAAGCCAAAAUAAGUAAUUAAUUUUUUUCAUUGAAUAAAUAUAAAUCACAGACCUGUCAUCUGAACGAGCAUGGGAGCAGUUCUAAGGGGACAUGUCUACAAUGUUGUGAUGGUGAUUUCUGUAACUCACAUGGAUGUGGAGAUAAUGGUUUCCCGCCAGAGCAAUCACGAGGCCCUCUUUGUCUCGACUGUUCGCACGUGAGUGACCCAAAAAAAUGUGACAAAAUAACUAUCUGCUCCUCGAAUGAGGUAUGCCGCAUCGAAGAGUUUCAAUGGGGAAACAAUUCAAUAUUUCACCUUGGAUGCGCGUCAGUCAAUGAUUGUGCUAUAGAACACCGAAGCUUGAACCCCUUCAACCAGAGGUCAGUUCCAGUCUGCACAGAAUGCUGUCAGGAGGAUUAUUGCAAUACAAACUGUACAGGAAGGAACCAUAAUCAGCAACAGAUUAUUGUUGGAUAAAUUUAUCUGUAUAUGAUAAUGUUUGCGAAUCUUUUUUCGAGUGUGAUAGGUUGA